rnacentral:rRNA from 1 species
GAUGAACGCUAGCGACAGGCUUAACACAUGCAAGUCGAGGGGCAGCGGGGGUGGAGCUUGCUCUACCCGCCGGCGACCGGCGCACGGGUGAGUAACACGUAUGGAACCUGCCCUGCACAGGGGGAUAAGCGAAAGAAAUUUCGUCUAAUACCGCAUAACACCUUCGGGAGACAUCUUCCGGAGGUCAAAGGGAGCAAUCCCGGUGCAGGAUGGCCAUGCGGCGCAUUAGCUUGUUGGCGGGGUAACGGCCCACCAAGGCGACGAUGCGUAGGGGUUCUGAGAGGAAGGUCCCCCACACUGGUACUGAGACACGGACCAG